UCUGGGCUUUGUAAACGCUGGGCCUCUGGGCCCUGCCCCAGAAGCCCCCAGCUUCCCAGAACCGGCUCCCCAGUUCCUGUUCAGCUGCUGCUCUUUCUGUAAGGCCUUCGCAAGCCUCACUGCCCCUUCUGGAUGUACUUAAUUUUCCGCUGAGGCUCGGGUCUCCCCACAGUAUAAACUUGACUCUACUCCAGAAAUAAGGGAGAACCAUUACACUGCCGAGCCCUUACUGCAGGCCUGGCCUGCCCUGUGCUCAGCCAAGACCUUACCAUCGACCACCUGUGAAGCCUGGAGCCAGCCGUUUGUCCCCUCUGCCUUGAGUUUUCUCCUCACCUGUAAAACAAGAUGAUGGCACUAAAUGUCCGCAAAGCCUUUGUCUUCUCUGAACUACAGUGGUUCUACAAAGGCUUCUGUGAUCCAAAAUUCUGCCCCAGCUUUGAUGUGACAACAGGACGUUCACCAGCCCAACUCCUUUUAUAUACGGUUACCGAGGAAUAAUAAGAAGAAGAAUGAUAAUGAUUAACAUUUAUUUCCUCCCAUGGGCCAAGAACUGAUCUAAGUACUUUUAAGCUUCAAAACAACUUUUUUUUUUUUUUGCGGUAUGCAGGCCUCUCACUGCCGUGACCUCUCCCGUUGCGGAGCACAGGCUCCGGAUGCGCAGGCUCAGCAGCCAUGGCUCACGGGCCCAGCCGCUCUGCGGCAUGUGAGAUCUUCCCGGACCGGGGCACGAACCCGUGUCCCCUGCAUCGGCAGGCAGACUCUCAACCACUGUGCCACCAGGGAAGCCCCCAAAACAACGUUUUAAGGGAACUGCUAUUAUUGUUUCCAUUUCAUAAAUAAGAAACCUAGAAACACACAGAGAGGUUACAUUACUUAAUAUAAGGUCAUACAGUUAACAAUUUGUGGAACCAGGGUUCAAACCCAAGCAGUUGGCUCAGGGUCCAUGCUCUUUUUCCCAGGAGCUGAAGAGUGAGGGGUUAAGGGUACAGGGAAGGUAUGGGAACUACCAAGUGAAGCCUCAGUGACAGGAGGCUCACUACCCCUCAGUGGCAUAUUUUAUCAUCAUCCCCAUCUCCAUAGCAAGUUGUGCUAUGUCCUGCUACCUCCCACCCCCUGCAAGGGGACACUUGUAAGAAGUUAUCUAGUGACUUGUGGAAAGAGUUGCCAGAUGAAGCAAAUAAAAAUACAGGAUACCUGGUUAAAUUCGAAUUUCUAAUAAAAAGUAAAUAAUUUUUUUAAGUAUAAGUCUAUCCCAUGCAACUUUUGGGACAUACUUAUACCAAAAACUUUUUCAUUAUUUAUCUGAAAUUCAAAUUUAACUGGGCAUCCUAUAUUUUAUCUGGCAAACCUACUUCCAGUACAAUAAA